AGGGCACUUCUGCCCCCCUGUCCCCCCUAGCAAAAGGCAAGGGGGGCAGCCGCCCCCCAGUUCCGGCGUCCCUGGGUUUAGUGUAUCUUUUAACAUGGUCGAGAAAGAGAAUUAUGUUUGGGGAUUUUAUAAUGUGAACAUUAUAUCAUAAUCAAUAUUUUCACUCUUAAAUAUUAAUACUCAGGACUCUCCCAUUGAUAGCCCAAUGAUAGGUAAAAUUAUCUCUG